rnacentral:rRNA from 1 species
ACGGUCCUAAGGUAGCGAAAUUCCUUGUCAGGUAAGUUCUGACCCGCACGAAAGGUGUAACGAUCUGGGCACUGUCUCAACAACCCGCCCGGCGAAAUUGUAGUACCGGUGAAGAUGCCGGUUACCCGCGACUAGACGGAAAGACCCCAUGGAGCUUUACUGUAGCCUAAUAUUGGAUUUCGGUAUUUCACGUACAGGAUAGGUGGGAGACUGGGAAGCACAGGCGUCAGCUUGUGUGGAGUCGACCUUGGGAUACCACUCUUGGAGUGCUGGAAUUCUAACCUGCGGCUUUGAAGCAAGUCGGGGGACAUUGUUAGGUGGGCAGUUUGACUGGGGCGGUCGCCUCCUAAAGAGUAACGGAGGCGUUCAAAGGUUCGCUCAGCUUGAACGGAAAUCAAGCAAAAGAGUGCAAACGCAGAAGCGAGCCUAACUGCGAGACUGACGGGUCGAGCAGUAACGAAAGUUGGAGUUAGUGAUCCGGCGGUAUGUGAAUGGAAAUGCCGUCGCUCAACGGAUAAAAGCUACCCUGGGGAUAACAGGCUGAUCUCCCCCAAGAGUCCACAUCGACGGGGAGGUUUGGCACCUCGAUGUCGGCUCAUCGCAUCCUGGGGCUGAAUUCGGUCCCAAGGGUUUGGCUGUUCGCCAAUUAAAGCGGUACGCGAGCUGGGUUCAGAACGUCGUGAGACAGUUCGGUCCCUAUCUGUCGUGGGCGUAGGAUAUUUGCAAGGAGCUGUCCCUAGUACGAGAGGACCGGGAUGGACGCACCUCUGGUGCACCAGUUGUCACGCCAGUGGCACAGCUGGGCAGCUAUGUGCGGAACGGAUAAACGCUGAAAGCAUCUAAGCGUGAAGCCGCCCUUAAGAUAAGAUCUCCUUUAAGACCCCUUGUAGACUACGAGGUUGAUAGGUCUGAUGUGUAAGCACGGUGACGUGUUUAGCUUGCAGAUACUAAUCGGUCGUUCGCUUUUCCUU